GCAUGUAUGUGUGCACGUGCAUAUUGUGUGUGUGUAUGUGUAUAUAUAUGUAUAUAAUUAUAUAUUA
rnacentral:miRNA from 1 species